UACGUAGGGUGCGAGCGUUAAUCGGAAUUACUGGGCGUAAAGCGUGCGCAGGCGGUCUGUUAAGACCGAUGUGAAAGCCCCGGGCUCAACCUGGGAAUGGCAUUUGAUACUCUGAGGCUGGAGUACGGGAGAGGAGAGUGGAAUUCCCAGUGUAGAGGUGAAAUUCGUAGAUAUUGGGAAGAACACCGGUGGCGAAGGCGGCUCUCUGGACCGUAACUGACGCUGAGGCGCGAAAGCGUGGGGAGCAAACAGG
rnacentral:rRNA from 1 species